CCAUCUCUGUUCGCGAAGCAAGCCGUACGCGUCGCCUUGCAGUUGUCGUCCAGAUCUGCGUCGCCGUGCCCCGUCCUAAUCGCCUCUGUCUCCGUCGAAGCCAAGCCCAGCCGCCGCCCAUUCCUUUCCUCUCCGUUCGUGAAGCCCGGUCGCCGCGUCAGAUCGUCGAUCGAUUUUGAGGCAGCGCGCACGUCUCCUUCCAGCGCGCGUUUCCUCUUCUUCCAGCAGCGUGUUCUUCUUCCAGCCGCAAUUCACAACCGACGUACACUCUAAUCUGUUUGUACGAUCUUUGUUGUUAGGUUCGAUCGUCGCUGCCGCCGUUUUUGUUGUGUUGGAAGUGACAUUGGGUCCCUCGUGUUCAUAACCGAAAUUGUGAAUUUUGGAGUUUGGCUCGCCAAUACUUCGUAUCUUUCGUGGGAUAUAGUUUGUUUAAGAAAUUGAGCAACCUUGAGGUAAGGGAUUUUCUACUGGACUCAACAACAAAAUUAAGAUAUAAUGACUAAUUAAGAUGUAUUGACUGUAUGGACCGUAUUAUAUUAUUUGAACUGAGUAGAGAUGACUGUUAUGAUGUAUGUUUGGACAUUGACUUAAAGUUUAAUGUUUGCUGUGUUUGACUGGGAGAAAUUAAUACAUAUAUGUGCAUGGGUUGAUGUGGACUGUGGUUGAGUA